rnacentral:rRNA from 1 species
ACGAACGCUGGCGGCGUGCCUCAUACAUGCCAGUUGAGCGCUGAAGGUUGGUACUUGUACCAACUGGAUGAGCAGCGAACGGGUGAGUAACGCGUGGGGAAUCUGCCUUUGAGCGGGGGACAACAUUUGGAAACGAAUGCUAAUACCGCAUAAAAACUUUAAACACAAGUUUUAAGUUUGAAAGAUGCAAUUGCAUCACUCAAAGAUGAUCCCGCGUUGUAUUAGCUAGUUGGUGAGGUAAAGGCUCACCAAGGCGAUGAUACAUAGCCGACCUGAGAGGGUGAUCGGCCACAUUGGGACUGAGACACGGCCCAAACUCCUACGGGAGGCAGCAGUAGGGAAUCUUCGGCAAUGGACGAAAGUCUGACCGAGCAACGCCGCGUGAGUGAAGAAGGUUUUCGGAUCGUAAAACUCUGUUGGUAGAGAAGAACGUUGGUGAGAGUGGAAAGCUCAUCAAGUGACGGUAACUACCCAGAAAGGGACGGCUAACUACGUG